GUUUUUAAAUUUAAUUGUUAUUAAUAAUUCUUUUAAUAAAGAAUUUAAAGAAUUAAUUAAAGAAUUUUCAAUUUU
rnacentral:tRNA from 1 species